rnacentral:rRNA from 1 species
AGUGAACGCUGGCGGUAGGCCUAACACAUGCAAGUCGAACGGCAGCACAGUAAGAGCUUGCUCUUACGGGUGGCGAGUGGAGGACGGGUGAGGAAUACAUCGGAAUCUACUUUUUCGUGGGGGAUAACGUAGGGAAACUUACGCUAAUACCGCAUACGACCUACGGGUGAAAGCAGGGGAUCUUCGGACCUUGCGCGAUUGAAUGAGCCGAUGUCGGAUUAGCUAGUUGGCGGGGUAAAGGCCCACCAAGGCGACGAUCCGUAGCUGGUCUGAGAGGAUGAUCAGCCACACUGGAACUGAGACACGGUCCAGACCCCUACGGGAGGCAGCAGUGGGGAAUAUUGGACAAUGGGCGCAAGCCUGAUCCAGCCAUACCGCGUGGGUGAAGAAGGCCUUCGGGUUGUAAAGCCCUUUUGUUGGGAAAGAAAAGCAGCAGGUUAAUACCCCGCUGUUCUGACGGUACCCAAAGAAUAAGCACCGGCUAACUUCGUG